rnacentral:rRNA from 1 species
GAGUCAACGUAGCAAUACGUGGCACACGGCUCAGUAACACGUAGUCAACAUAACCAAAGGACGUGGAUAAACUCGGGAAACUGAGGCUAAACCGCGAUAGAUCAAGAUACCUGGAAUGGUUUUUGAUCAAAAUCUAUAUGGCCUUUGGAUUGGACUGCGUCCGAUCAGGCUGUUGGUGAGGUAAUGGCCCACCAAACCUGUAACCGGCACGGGCUCUGAGAGGAGGAGCCCGGAGAUGGGUACUGAGAAAAGGACCCAGGCCCUAUGGGGCGCAGCAGGCGCGAAACCUCUGCAAUAGGCGAAAGCCUGACAGGGUUAUUCUGAGUGACUUUCGCUAAGAAAGUCUUUUGACACCUCUAAAAAUGGUGUAGAAUAAGGGGUGGGCAAGUCUGGUGUCAGCCGCCGCGGUAAUACCAGCACCCCGAGUGGUCGGGACGAUUAUUGGGCCUAAAGCAUCCGUAGCCGGUUUUACAAGUCCUCCGUUAAAUCCAGCUGCUUAACAGAUGGGCUGCGGAGGAUACUAUAAGACUAGGAGGCAGGAGAGGCAAGCGGUACUCAGUGGGUAGGGGUAAAAUCCGUUGAUCCAUUGAAGACCACCAGUGGCGAAGGCGGCUUGCCAGAAUGCGCUCGACGGUGAGGGAUGAAAGCUGGGGGAGCAAACCGGAUUAGAUACCCGGGUAGUCCCAGCUGUAAACGAUGCAGACUCGGUGAUGGACUAGCUUUAUGCUAGUCCAGUGCCGCAGGGAAGCCGUUAAGUCUGCCGCCUGGGUAGUACGGUCGCAAGACUGAA